UUGAUUUCAACGAUGAUUCAUUUCAUCUCCCACUCUCUCUCUCACCAUUACUUCCACCUUCUCUUCUCAUCUUCUCUCUCUCACCGUUCUCUCAAAAACCCAAACCGCCGCCCCACUCACCAUAAUUCCGUUCUUCUCUCUUCUCGACGAUUUUCCGGCUGUGAAGAAAACGAAGAAUCAGUCGAUUUGCUUCCACCACCAAUUUUCUCUCACCUCGACGACGAGUAAUCAUUGUACACGACUCUGAUUAGAUUCAAAGAGGGCAAGAAACUUUAUAGAAGACGAUUUUGAUGAAGACAUUCCUAUAGCAGCUGCGACACAGUAUGGUGGUAGACAAGAUCUGAAUGUUUUUGGUGAUUUUUGUUGAAGGUUUCUUAUGAACAUGUUAGUGUGGGGUUUUGUGAAUGUCUAAAUUUUCGUGAUGUACAAUUAUACUUAAAUGAUGUACAACGUUAAUUACUAGUGAUGUGUGUUUUAUAGUCAUUAAUGGACAAACAUUUUACAUUGUUUAUAAUACUCAUAUUUUAUUGUA